rnacentral:lncRNA from 1 species
AUGGACUGGAUGAGCUGCAGGUUCCUCUCCCGGAAGUUCUCGGGCACCAGCGUUUCACAGCUCAACUGCACGGAGCCAAGUGACACAGGCCCCCGUCACUCACCCCGACCUGUGUUACUGGGGUCUCUGGCUACAGCUAGAGAAAGAGCAGGGCACGUCCGCUUGCUCAGGACACUAAGCAGGCCCACUGCCAGGUACAGGACGCCAGACACCGGAAGGCCAAAGUCCCCCAACCCCUGUGCCUGGUCCCAGCCCAGUUGUCGGCCGCUGCCACCACCGCGGGGCCGGCGCCAGGAGAACGUCAGCGGCACGCAAAUCCUCCCACCUCUUGUACCUCCAGCUUCCUCGGCGGCUCUGCUGGGCUCCACGACCACUGGCCCGGCCCACACGGCCUUGGCGGUUGUACCUGUCCACCUCCUCGUAGUCCUCGCCCCGAUGACCCCUGCGGCCGGCACACAGCCUGUCACGGGCCCGGGCCGGACCGAGGCAGGUGCUCCAGGACCCCCCCCCGAGGAUGGGCUCAGACACCUCCAGGGUCUAUGUCAGCCCCAGGCGCUCCUCACUCCACCCCACUGCCCCACCCCGCCCCCCGGGGGCAGAUAGAGGACACCAGGAGCCGACUGCUGCAAAGCGCUCCCUGUGGUCACAAUGUGCUCAGACGCUCAGGGCUCGUUGAGAGGCGAGGAGGUGCGUGUCUCCCGUCCACUGGCACACGAGGGCUCAGGUCAGGACCUGGGUCUGAGGUCUGCGGGCCCCGGGAGCGCCCGGCUGGAGCCGGAGGGAGCCCCGCUCCUCAGAGGGAAGGCUGUGCUCACCCUCGUUCCGGCGAGAGUGCCGUGGCGUGUAGCUGAACUGCAGGUCGAUCUGGCGAUUCUGGCGGGCCUCGGCACGGCUGCGGCUGUGGCAGGCCGUCCUGUGGGCCUUGAGGUCAAUCUCGGUGCGGAAGGCAUGGGUGAACUGCUCGGUGCUGCAGCGACCCUCCUCACACAGGAAGUGCUUCUCCCGAAGUGUUCGCGCAGGUAGGCGUAGUCGCUGGCGGGGGGCCGGGGUGUCAGCCGGAGCCCGUGGGCUCCGCCACCCCGGCCAGGCCCUGCCCAGCCUGCUCGGGUGCCCGGGGCCCGCGCCCACCUGUAGUAGUCUUGGGCCCCGUCCGAGUCACAGAAGUGGCAGAAGUAGUGGUCUCGCCGCAGGUGUUUCAGCAGCUCGUCGUUGUCCAGGUAGCGCUCGUCACAGAACUUGCAGAGCGGGUGCCCGCGGUGGGACGUGUCAUCGGGGUCCCCCUGCAUGCGGUGCCGCGCCAGGUCCUUGCGGAGUACCAUUUGCGCUCGUACGUGAAGAUCUGCAGGGAAGAGGGUGCUGGGCGCCGGGGGGGGGCCCUUCCCACAGCCCCGCAACACAGGGGACCCGGUGGUGCUGGUGCCAGCUCUGGGCCCCCAGACGCCAGCAGCCCCUCCCCGCCCGGGCUGCGCGAGGCAGGACAGCUGGGGGGACCCGCAUGGCAGCGGGGGGGCUGGGGUGGCGAGCAGGAGAGAGCGGGGUGGGGCGCACCUUGAGGUGCCUGAGGCACAGCUUGCAGCAGAAGAGCUCGUGCUGCCUCCGCAUGCUGCUCCAGGUCUCCGAAGAGGCCGAACGGCGGCAGCUCGGGGCACUGUGGGCACUCGUGCUGAAGCAGCUGCCUAGAGACACAUCGGGCCCCCCGGGCCGUGCGGGCACUCAGGGCACCGGCCGGAGUGAGCCCUGGCGCCUACUCACAGUCUCUGCGUGCGCUUUGGGAAGAGCCAGGACGACGGGCACCCGGCACGCCCACCAGCGCAGGGGCCCCGCGGUUGAGCCCGGCUGCGGGAUGGCCGACCUCUGCGUAGGGCGGGCACGGUGACUACCACACUGGGAGCCAGCCCCUCACCCGCCCCGCGACAGCCGCGCCCUUCAUGGGGUUUCCUGCCACGGGCUAAGAUCCCAACUCACGCGGGCUUGCGUGCGCCUCACACGCCCCAGAAAGCCGGCACCGCGCUACAACCCAGCGCUUUCCCUAGACUCGCCCCGCCCAUCCACCCCUGCUGGGCUGACGCCAGGAAAGCAGGGGGGCCCUGACACGCACGCUGCCCCCUCACCACCGAGGGCCGUGCCCAUCCCUGCCACAAGCCCCUCCCCAGACCCAGGCUGGCUGCGGGCCCCUGGGACCCCCGCUCACCUGUACAAGGCAAAAACUUUCCCGUCCGCGAAAUAGAUGUCAUAUUUCUUCUCGUGCUGCAACUGGUGGAGGGGGAUUGUGGCAAAGGCGGGAAGCUUCUUCCCAAAGACCACCUGGAACCAAGAGUGAGGGACCUGCUGAGAAGGGCUGUGGACCCACUGGA